rnacentral:rRNA from 1 species
CCGCCCUGGGUUAGUCGGGACCUAAGCUGAGGCCGAAAGGCGUAGGUGAUGGACAACAGGUUGAUAUUCCUGUACUACCGAUAACCGUUUGAGAGAAGGGAUGACACAGUAGGAUAAGCUAAGCACACUGUUGGUUAUGUGUGCCCAAGCAUUGAGGCAGUCAAAGUAGGCAAAUCCGCUUUGAUAAUGCUGGGAUGUGAUGGGGAGCGAAAUUUAGUAGCGAAGUAGCUGAUUUCACACUGUCAAGAAAAGUCUCUAUCGAGGUUAAAGGUACCCGUACCGCAAACCGACACAGGUGGGUGAGGAGAGUAUCCUAAGGCCAGCGAGAGAACUGUUGUUAAGGAACUCGGCAAAAUGACCCCGUAACUUAGGGAUAAGGGGUGCCACCAUCAGGUGGCCGCAGAGAAUAGGCCCAAGCGACUGUUUACCAAAAACAUAGGUUUCUGCUAAGUCGCAAGACGAUGUAUAGGAGCUGACGCCUGCCCGGUGCUGGAAGGUUAAGGGGAUCUGUUAGAGCAAUCGAAGCAGUGAACUUAAGCCCCAGUAAACGGCGGCCGUAACUAUAACGGUCCUAAGGUAGCGAAAUUCCUUGUCGGGUAAGUUCCGACCCGCACGAAAGGCGUAACGAUUUGGGCACUGUCUCAACAACAGACUCGGUGAAAUUGUAAUUCCGGUGAAGAUGCCGGAUACCUGCGACAGGACGGAAAGACCCCAUGGAGCUUUACUGUAGCUUGACAUUGGGUCUUGGUACUACAUGUACAGGAUAGGUGGGAGGCUUUGAAACCAGGACGCCAGUUUUGGCGGAGCCAUCCUUGGGAUACCACCCUUGUAGUACUGGGACUCUAACCAUAGGCCAUGAAUCUGGUCUUGGGACACUGUCAGGUGGGCAGUUUGACUGGGGCGGUCGCCUCCCAAAAGGUAACGGAGGCGCUCAAAGGUUCUCUCAGUACGGUCGGAAAUCGUACGUAGAGUGUAAAGGCAAAAGAGAGCUUGAUUGCAAGACAUACAGGUCGAGCAAGGAUGAAAAUCGGACUUAGUGAUCCGGUGGUUCUGCGUGGAAGGGCCAUCGCUCAACGGAUAAAAGCUACCCUGGGGAUAACAGGCUUAUCUCCCCCAAGAGUCCACAUCGACGGGGAGGUUUGGCACCUCGAUGUCGGCUCAUCACAUCCUGGGGCUGUAGUAGGUCCCAAGGGUUGGGCUGUUCGCCCAUUAAAGUGGUACGCGAGCUGGGUUCAGAACGUCGUGAGACAGUUCGGUCCCUAUCCGUCGCAGGCGUAGGAAAUUUGAGAAGACCUGUCCUUAGUACGAGAGGACCGGGAUGGACG